rnacentral:rRNA from 1 species
GAGCGGCGUACGGGUGCGUAACACGUGUGCAACCUGCCUUUAUCUGGGGGAUAGCCUUUCGAAAGGAAGAUUAAUACCCCAUAAUAUGGUGUCCGGCAUCGGUCGCCAUUGAAAGCCUCGGCGGAUAGAGAUGGGCACGCGCAAGAUUAGAUAGUUGGCGGGGUAACGGCCCACCAAGUCGAUGAUCUUUAGGGGUCCUGAGAGGGAGAUCCCCCACACUGGUACUGAGACACGGACCAGACUCCUACGGGAGGCAGCAGUGAGGAAUAUUGGACAAUGGGUGGAAGCCUGAUCCAGCCAUCCCGCGUGAAGGAUGACGGUCCUAUGGAUUGUAAACUUCUUUUGUACAGGGAUAAACCUGCCCUCGUGAGGGCAGCUGAAGGUACUGUACGAAUAAGCACCGGCUAACUCCGUGCCAGCAGCCGCGGUAAUACGGAGGGUGCGAGCGUUAUCCGGAUUUAUUGGGUUUAAAGGGUCCGUAGGCGGGCCUGUAAGUCAGUGGUGAAAUCUCAUAGCUUAACUAUGAAACUGCCAUUGAUACUGCAGGCCUUGAGUAAAUUUGAAGUGGCUGGAAUAAGUAGUGUAGCGGUGAAAUGCAUAGAUAUUACUUAGAACACCGAUUGCGAAGGCAGGUCACUAAGAUUUAACUGACGCUGAUGGACGAAAGCGUGGGGAGCGAACAGGAUUAGAUACCCUGGUAGUCCACGCCGUAAACGAUGCUAACUCGUUUUUGGAUCUUCGGGUUCAGAGACCAAGCGAAAGUGAUAAGUUAGCCACCUGGGGAGUACGUCCGCAAGGAUGAAACUCAAAGGAAUUGACGGGGGCCCGCACAAGCGGUGGAUUAUGUGGUUUAAUUCGAUGAUACGCGAGGAACCUUACCAAGACUUAAAUGGGAAUUGACAGAUUUAGAAAUAGAUCCUCCUUCGGGCAAUUUUCAAGGUGCUGCAUGGUUGUCGUCAGCUCGUGCCGUGAGGUGUUAGGUUAAGUCCUGCAACGAGCGCAACCCCUGCCAACAGUUGCCAUCAUUCAGUUGGGGACUCUGUUGGGACUGCCUACGCAAGUAGAGAGGAAGGUGGGGAUGACGUCAAAUCAUCACGGCCCUUACGUCUUGGGCCACACACGUAAUACAAUGGCCGGUACAGAGGGCAGCUACCUGGUGACAGGAUGCGAAUCUCGAAAGCCGGUCUCAGUUCGGAUUGGAGUCUGCAACUCGACUCUAUGAAGCUGGAAUCGCUAGUAAUCGCGCAUCAGCCAUGGCGCGGUGAAUACGUUCCCGGGCCUUGUACACACCGCCCGUCAAGCCAUGGAAGUCUGGGGUACCUGAAGUCGG